rnacentral:rRNA from 1 species
AUGCCGCCGGCCGGCAGCCUCACCGCCGAGCAGCUCAGCUUCUUCGAGAAGAACGGCUACCUGGUGCUGGAGUCGUUCUCGAGCGCGGAGGAGGUUCAGGCUAUGCGGGGCCGCAUGGCCGAGCUCGUCCACGGCUUCGACGGCGCUGACUCCAGUGUCUUCUCCACUAAGGAUCAUCGGCAGUUGAAGGAUGACUACUUCUUUAAGAGUGCGGAGAAUAUAUCUUUCUUCUUCGAGGAAAAGGCAUUUGGAGAUGAUGGAUGCUUGAGACAGCCAAAGGAACUUUCAAUCAAUAAAGUUGGACAUGCACUACAUGAACAUGACCCUGUGUUCAAAAAGUUUGCUUUCUCGGAGAGUAUUUCUAGCCUGUUCUCUUCUUUAGGGUACAAGAGACCUGCAGUUAUUCAAUCUAUGUACAUCUUUAAGCAACCGGGCAUUGGUGGCGAGGUGGUGCCACACCAGGAUAAUACAUUCCUUUAUACAGAGCCCCUAUCAUGCACAGGAUUGUGGCUAGCACUUGAAGAUGCAACAAUUACAAACGGUUGCCUAUGGGCAAUUCCCGGAUCACAUAAAAAUGGUCUAAAAAGGCGAAUGAUCAGAGAUGAAAAUGGUACUCAUUUUGAUCGCCCCUCCCCGCUUUAUGACCAGAAAGAGUUUGUACCACUGGAAAUGAAAUCAGGUGACUUUGUUGUUAUUCACGGCGAUCUUGUACAUCAGAGCUUUGAGAACCUUUCUCCAGUGUCAAGACAUGCACUGAGCUUACAUGUAGUUGACAUGGAAGGAUGUAAAUGGUCCAAGGACAACUGGAUACAGAGGAAAACUGCGCCUGAACCGCUCUAUGUGUCUUAG